rnacentral:sRNA from 1 species
GCUGGGUGUGGUGGCACACCCUGUAAUCCCAAUAGCUUGGGAGGCUGAGGCAGGAGGAUCGUGAGUUCAAAUCCAGCCUCAGUAAAAGCAAGGUGCUAAGCAACUCAGUGAGACCCUGUCUCUA